CCUACGGGUGGCAGCAGUGGGGAAUAUUGCACAAUGGGGGAAACCCUGAUGCAGCGAAGCCGCGUGAGGGAAGAAGGAUUUCGGUAUGUAAAGCUCUAUCAGCAGGGAAGAAAAUGACGGUACCUGAUUCAGAAGCCGAGGCUAACUACGUGCCAGCAGCCGCGGUAAUACGUAGGGGGCAAGCGUUAUCCGGAUUUACUGGGUGUAAAGGGAGCGUAGACGGCAGCGCAAGUCUGGAGGGAAAUGCCGGGGCUUAACCCCGGAACUGCUUUGGAAACUGGGCAGCUAGAGUGCAGGAGAGGUAAGUGGAAUUCGUGGUGUAGCGGUGAAAUGCGUAGAUAUUAGGAGGAACACCAGUGGCGAAGGCGGCUUACUGGACUGUAACUGACGUUGAGGCUCGAAAGCGUGGGGAGCGAACAGGAUUAGAUACCCCAGUAGUC
rnacentral:rRNA from 1 species